UUCAUGUAGGUAAGCCAAACCUCUAGCAAUACCGACGCAAAUUUUCUUCCUUGUCGACCAAGUCAAUUUCAAUGGACAGUUUUCUUUGGCUUCAUUUUCAAAUGUCAUAGAAAAUUAGACGACAAAAUCAUAUGGUGUGUGUACACUGUACACAGAGAGACACACACAACAUUGUAGAUUAUAUUAAUGAAAGAGCUACAAAACUUGACUACAUGGAUAAAAGGUUUACCAAACAAAGCACAAGCAAGGCUAUUAUUUUCCAUGUAUUCAUAUAUUAGCAAUAACUGAUCUCCCUCCAUACAGCAACCGUAGAGCUUAACUAGACAAGGGUGUUGCAAAGCAGAAAUCAAGCCGAUCUCGUUUAUAAAUUCGCGGUUCCCUUGCUUUGAUUUAGAAGAAAGCUGCUUAACAGCUACUAUUUUGCCGUCUGAAAGAACACCCUGCAAUUUCAGGAGUUUAUAUUAUAUCUAUAUAUGAAAGAAGUUAUCGAGAAGUGAAAACAAUAAUAGAUAUUUCAAUGACAUUCAAAUUUCAAAUGAAAGUGUAGAUUGUCCACAAUACCUUGUAAACAGGACCAAACCCGCCCUCUCCAAUCUUAAACGCAAUAUCAAAGUUGUUAGUUGCUGCUUUGAUUUGCCGUAACGUAAAUAGCCCAGGUUGGAAAUCUAAACCCUUUAGCUCUGUUGAUUGCAGUAAAAAAGAAUAUAUAAAUAAAAUCAGAGAUAUUUUUUGAGUAACUUCCACAUCUAGACAUAAUGGCAGCUUUGACUAAAGAAUCUAUAUUUUUAUAAAAUCAAAUUCAGCCUGUUAUGUGUAUAAAGGAAUUUCCAAAAAUUCAUUUUUAUGGUUGCAAAAUCCCAAUUUUGCAUCAAAAUUCCUUAGAGUUUUAGAGUAAAACUAUCUUAGGUCUUACCCCUUUCUAACGGACCUAUAUGUUGUCGACAUCUUCUCCACCAAUAUAUACUGAAUACCAGUAAGAUAACUAGUCCUCCAGCAACAGCAGUCACGACAAUUUUCCAAACAGGCAUGCUACUGCGCUUUUCCACUGGGGGUGUAAAGUCUGUUUAAUUAUGAUAAAAUAUAAAAGACUUGCAUAUAGACCAUAUUAGAGGAUGAUGGAAUAAGAAGAACCAUGAAGAACUAUAACUGACCAGGAUCAACCGAUAUGGCCGAUAUAAGAGGACCAUAUACUGAAUCAAAUGGGAUACCGGUUGUCCCUUUCCCCGCCCAAUGAAGGCGAAUCUCCAACGUAUUACUAGUCACAUUAGCAGUGAAAUUCUUUAUGAUUGCCUUACCAACUCCACCGGCUUCUUUUGCAAUAUUGAAAUCCUUCAGCACCAACCUUCCCUGCAAAAUGGUUUAUAAUGGUCAAAGGAAACUUGUUCAAUACUAAACAUGUUGCUGAAAAACAUAAGAUGAUGAGAUCAUGCACCUGAAUAUAUAUGUCAAAUAUACGUCUUCCAAGGCUGUUAUAUGUUUGAUCAUCCGUAAACAUUAUCUCCGCAAAAUGGAGAUUUACACUGUAGUUUCCAUUUCCCAGGCAAAAUCCAUAAUAUGUUAGAGAAAGCGGCGAAACCCGUGCAUCCAUAUACAGUUUGGCAUUUUCCAUGGCAAGGUUGGUUUUUUUAGACCAGGUAUAGUAGUCCGCAAGGCUACUAUUACUAUCGAAGAAGUGACCAGUGUUGCUAAGUGCCCAGUUUGAUCCAGUUCGCUGAAAGCUUGCUGGUCCAACUUGACUUGAAUCAUCAUCAUAUGUCAAGCUUUCAUUAGAAGUUAUUUGCUUACCACCACAAUUUAUACGGAGAGAGUACGAAGCUGGAAUGGUCAAAAGAAAAAAAAUGCUAAGUACAAUAAGAUGAUCACAUUAUAAAUAAAAAUUGUAAGAUUAGAACCUAGAACAACAACCUUGGUUCGAAAGAAAACAAAUAUGAAAAACGCAAAAAGAGAAUACAAGGAUUUAUUGUAGAAAUAAGCUCAAAUAAGCAUUUGUAAGCUCAAAUAAGCCAAUUCAAACAGGCCCUAAGUAGAAAUUAUUAAGUUAAAAGCACCAGCAGGUAUCCUACAAUCUAAAGGAAAACCACGACAAAUCAACUUACUUUUAGGACAGCUGAAGUUCCCCAAACAUGAAACCCUUCCCCUAAGAAAAAAUAAUGGUGUGUAACAUAUCAGCAUAAUGACAUUAUAAAAUGUAUAAGCUAUAUGCAUAAAAUAAUUUAUUAUGAUUCAUGAGUAGUACAAAACUUACAAGUUAUUUCGCUUUGAAGAUGAUGCAAACAAGUUCCUGCGGCACAUGGUAAACAGAAAAAAGAUUAUAUAGUUUCUUAAAAUUGUUGAAACAAAAAAAGUAUGAAAAAACAAGGAUUCUUACACGGUUCCCUGUUGACAUGUCAACUGCUCUGGAUUUUCAAUGCUCAAAUUGUUAUACGAAAGAUCUCUGCAUGUGUCAAAUUAUGCAUGUGAUUCAGAAAUAAAGAUGUAACAAAGAACUAUAUGUAACGCUUUUUGGUAUAGAAAUAUCGAAAACUAGUUGUACAAAAAUUUAGCAUGCAGAAGUAAUAAUUAACCUCAAUAAACUAAAUAAGCAGCGUUUGAAGGAUUACUCACGUGUAGUCUGGUCUAGCAAUCCAAUUUGGAAGCGGUCCAGUAAACAGGUUUCCAGUUAAGUAUCUAAGUAAAACAGUAAGAUAAGAUUAAUGAAGACUAGAUUAUAGAUUAAUGAUAUCAAGAAAGAACUUUCUCCAAUGUUCUCAUCUUUCUCCUUAUCUCCACUUAUAGAUUUGCCUAUUUUCUAAUCAUUCUCAAUUUAGAUUUUCAGCGAGAGGCAGUGACAUGAUUAUCUCAUGGUGAUUUUAGAAUUAUAUAUAAAUUUAUUGGUCCGUAGUUUAAGAACAAAAAUAAAUAAAAUGUAUGCACAUAGACAUAGUUCUAGAUUGCAGUUCGCAACUGCAAUAGGGUUUUAGAGGUUUCUGCAAUGGCAUCUAUUAGAGAUAUAGAUUAGUAGCAUAUUAGUCCUAGUAGAGAGUAGUAUAAAUAACUUCUAACCACCCCAUUAGAGGGACUUUUCUCAUUUUGUAAUAUUCCAUUUCCAUCAAUAGAAAGAGUUUCUUAGUUUUCUCUCCUUCCUUCCAUGGAUGCCAUGCUUCCUAACAGCAUCACACUGCACUUGUGGCCGUAUUUUCCUGCACUGUUGCAGUGUAAUUGCAUUUUAGAACCAUGCAUGCACAUGGACUUGAAAUGGAUAAAUAUUCAUGAGAGAAAUGAAUCAGAUUCACUAUUUUCCACUUGCGGCUCUAUCUAAAAUCCAAUCUAUUAAUAAUCUCGUUGCUUCGUUGCAAACAAUUCUAACCUUGACUACAUCUGUUUAAAUCACACUAAUAUCUUGCAGGUAUCUUUAAGAAUUCAAUUUGGUGUAUACAAGAAACUCGGAGGAUAUUGCUUACAGCAUAUUUAUGUUCUUCAGGCCACCCAAGGUGUUCGGAAUCGGUCCAGUUAAUUUGUUAAAGCUGAGAUCUCUGAAAAAAAUUAUGCUCAGAAUAAAUAUUAUUCGACAAGAAAAAUGGUAUAGUCCCCAUAACAUAAUAAAAGAAGCAUCUUGUUUUUCACCAAAAUAUGAGUACUGAUUGCAUCUAUUGUAACUGGUUCUAACACAUGUGAAUAAUGCAAGUGAAUAAUGCAAGAAACUUCCUAGCAUUACUUACAAAGAUUUUAAAGUAGUAAUAUGUCCAAGAUAGUCGGGAACUUCUCCUAUAAGAUUGCAACUCCUCAGCACUCUGUCAAAAAAAUUGAUACUAUGUAAAUUUUUAAGUGCAAACAUGCACUUAUGCUAAUAAUCCAAGCAAUUCCCUUACAAUGUUUCAAUAUUUGUCAAGCCAAUAAGUUGCGGAAAUGGAGAAUCUGAUCCUUUCAAGUCGCUUAUUCUCCUGCAUAACAUUUCUUAAUCACUGUAAAACUCAAUAAGAGAAAAAUUGAAUUUUAAAUCCUUGACCAAAAUUUAUAAAGCACUGACACAAAUACCGAACACGAUACUGACGUUGACAUACAUGUAGUGUGUCGGACACUAGACUCGCAUUCAAUUUGAAACAUCGGUGUUAAAGAUCGCAAGAAAAUACAUCAUACUUACAAGUCAUUGAGGUUUUUCAGAUAUGAAAUUCCAGAAGGAAUUGGACCACUCAACCCACUCCCUUGCAUCACCCUGUCAAAUUAAAAGCAAUUCUUUCAACAAACCAGCUUAACUAAGAAAAAAAAUUAUGAUUUAGAAUUUCACGAGAAGAAACAAAAAGGUUCACACAUUCUCUCAAGAAUUGUCCAGCUCUGAAUGAAAUAAGGUAUAGUUCCAGAAAAUUGAUUGUCACAAAGUCGACUGCAUUUUCAGAAGGUAAACACAAUGAAUAAGAUAUUACGGUUCAUAUGAACAUCAAUAGAAUGAAUGUUUUUAAGUGUACCAAAAACAAUUAAGGGAAGGAUUUGUUACAUGUGCUUCAGUUUAGUGAGCUUAGCAAACGUUGCAGGUAAAUUACCAGUAAAAAAGUUCGAGGUAAGAAGCCUACAACAACAUUGAAAUUGGAAUUAGGUAUUGCAACUCUCAGUACGGUAAAAAUGAAUAAUUUCACCAAUUUUUUAGUUGUAGCAAUUUAGAAAAUGGCAGUGUAAUCACUUGCGGAUCACAUAACAUAGCAGUUUGUUCAAAUUCGGCUAUACUAUAACAUUGCUAUAGCCGCUAUUUGACAAAACUGGAAUAUAGAAAUUGUGAAUUCUACAAAGGAGCUUACAGUCUUUCAAGCUGGUGAAGAUUCCCAAGCUCUGGUGGAAGCUCUCCAGAUAACUGAUUGAACUUCAGAAUCCUAUGCAUUUAGUGUAUCAAACUUUAAGUUACUUGAAAGUUUUCAUAAAAUCUACAUAGGCAAAUUACUUACAAUUUUUGCAUAGUGCUGAUGUUUCCAAGCUCUUUCGGGAUUGAACCCGUUAAUCGGUUUCCUAUGAGUGAACUGUCACAAAGCAUGCAAAACUACUUAUAAGAUUAUAUUUCAAAAAGAAAACAAUAAUCUAAAACAAAAAUUUACAUAAAAAAUACCUAUUUCUUAGAAUUAUUUACUAUUUCUAAUAAUAGUAAUAAGAAUAGGAAAUAAAAGAAUGGUUAAGGGGAAAUACAUGUUGACAAGAUUCAUGGAACCCCAUUGUGGAGGGAUUGUACCAUUAAGGUAGUUGUUUGAGAGAUCACUGUACCACAUUAAGUAAAAUAAUCAAACAUUAAUACUGAAUUAUGAUAAUGAUAAAAAUUUAGUAAGGUAAAAUUAGAAUAACAUACAUUUGUUGGAGGUAAGGCAAUCUCACAAGUUCCUUUGGAAGUGUGCCAGAAAGAUUUUGUGAUCUGAGAACACUGCAUCAUAAUUAAUUAUAAGCUUGUGUUUUGACUCUAUAAGCUUGUGUAGCACCUUGAAAAAUAGGUUAUAAAUGAUGGACAGCUUAUAAGUCAAUUAUGUGCGAGUUGAGUUAGGUCCAAUUUAAAAUACUAAUAAUCUAUAAGAGCAUAUUGAUGCGAGUAUUUAUAUUCAAGCACCAAGUUCAAUAGUAUACAAUAUGAAAGAGAUUAUUGAAGGAAAAAGUACCGCAUAACAUAAAGAUAAAACUUAAAAUUAGUUUAUAAAGAAUAAUUGUUUUAUAGGAUUAGUAAGGCACAGUGUAAAAAUAUAAUAAUACCUGCACCAAACACAAAAUCGACACACAUAUGGAGAGCAAGAAAAUAACAUACAUGCUAACAAUAUGACAGACAGUGGCAUUGGCAAAAGUGCAAUUGCAUGUGACAGCAUUUUCAAACCCUUUGACUUUCACAGAAGAUUUCCAAUUAUUUUCUCCACUACAUGGAUCUUUGUUGAAGUCCCAAUCCUUCUUCCCAAGUGUCUUAGCUACAUCUUUCAUAACCUGUGCUGUAUAUUAAUUCAAAACCAAAAUUUGUUUUAAUAUCCUCAUGGAGACGAAAAACUUAAACAGAUAGCGAAAAUCGAACCUGAAACCUUGAGGAGAGCACAUUCCAAAGUCUCAAGUCAAAAUGACUAGACCAACUUAAACUAAGAGAGACGUUUAUAAGGUACAUACCUUCUUCUUGUAAGAGAGUAGCUCCACUAGCAAAUGAAGAGAUCAAACAAAAGGAAAGAAACAAAAGAUGCAAAGACUUGUUCAUGAUAGGCUUCAUAUUUGAAACAAGUGAAUGAAAGAAAAUGAAAUCAGUGGUUGAAAGUGUAAGGGUUAUAUUAAGCAAUUAUUGUAGCAUGAGAUACGUUCCCGGAAAGAGAUAUAUGGAAAAUAGACCACUCUAUGACUUAAUGAAAUGAAAAGUCAAUAGUAAUGUGAAAUAGACAAAAUUUAAGUAAGGGCCCGUGUACUUUCAUUUUUUCUGCUUUUUCAUUCAACUAGUACGUAGUAUAAGAUAAUAUACACUUGUUUACACUUACAAUAUUUUAAGUUGUUAACAAUGGUCUAUAAUCGAAGUUAUGAUAAUCCUUCAAAAAAAAUAAAAAAUCGAAGUUAUAAUAAGAACAAUGCAUGCACACCAUUUAGUUUAGGACAAAAAAAUCAUCAACAUCAUGAAAUAUAGAUUGUAUAUAACCAACCACACCAAGAGUUUUACAUUGAAAUAUUUAGUUUUGAUUAUCAUUGGUAUUUAUUUCAUUUUUUUUGUUUGAAUUCACAAAAUAGCACAAUCUUUGUUGACCAACCAUGGCCUCAAGUAAAAGUUUAAUGGAAAUGUUUCCCUCCUUUUUUUUAUAAUACUAACUAAUAUGGCCGCUGGUUUAAGAAGACUUCAACAGUUCGAUGACUUUUGUUUUCCACUUCCUUCUUUCCCAAUCACAUUUGAUUAUUUUAGUUUUUCACUAAGCACGUUCCAUCCAUAAUCAUGGGAUGCCCCAUCAACUCUUUUAAUAAGUGCUCUCCAUACCAUAACAUGACUUCCUUUCGUCAAACUCACGGAUUCGGCUAUACCUGCAAAACCAAUCAAAUGUAACGAGUUAAAACUUGCAAUACCUGUUCUUUGAUCCAUAUUGUGUGUAGAAACGUCCUAUCAAUUGAUCAACAAUGAUUUGGAACCAAGAUUUUGACAAAAGAUUUUUGAAAUGGGGAUUUUUUGUGGAAUGGUAUGGUGAGGUAAGGUGAUGAGUGAAUAGGACCUAGGGGUUUUCUUGUUUCGUGGGAGAAAAACAACGACAGUUAACUCCCGCUGGCUCCACCGGCAAUUAACUGCUGUCGGUUAACCCAACGGUAGUUAACUACCGCUGGGGACUCUAAUGUAAUUUACUUGUGUCAUUGUGAACUUUUGUAUGUCAAAAAGCAAUUUUCAAUGAUAAUUAAUUGUUAUGGGUACACUUAAAGUUAAAUGUAGAUGCGAUACCUAUUAGACCAUGUCCAAUGGUGUUUAAUGGGUAUGUUGAAAGCAACAUUCAACAAGUGAAAUGCUCCAAUGGCGGUGUUUAAUAGUGAUGUGGAUGAAAGAGAGGUUGAAUGGUUUCAACAAUGUUUAAUCUGACGCAAGGGAACACGUGGCGGACUUCAGUUGGCCAGAAAUGGCGCGUGAAGCUGCAGAGGCUGGAGAGAGAAACGGAAAUCAGGAUAGAUAUGGACACAUGUUCAGUUUUGAUUGGUUGUCCGGAUUCUUAUCAUUUUAAUAAUUGGACCUCAAUAUUUCGUUGUAAAUUAUUUUUUAAAAAAAAAAAAAACCAAAAUUCAUGAUUUUUUUCUCUCUAUAAAUAGAGACUUGGUUCAUUUGAUUUGGACAAAGAAAAAAAAACCAAGUUUUUCACUAUCUUAAUCUUAUUAUUAUCUUUCUAUUAGAAAACUAAGUGAAGUUUUAAUCUUAUUUUUAGUGAAAUGGAUCCCAAUAAUAACCAUUUCAACACCCAAAAUUAUUCUAAUUACCCAUUUAACUAAUAAAAUCCCAACAAUUAUCCAAAUCCAAAUCAAUUUUUCAACCAACGUCCUCAAAACUUACCUCAAAACAUACAUAAUUUUGGUUUUACACCAAAUUUCAACCAGUCAUCCUCUUUUCCAAACUUUCAUCCAUAUUAUGGAUCUAUGAUGAGAUAUCCAUCUCAAACACCACCGUUUAAUGGUUAUAUGCCAAUGGAGAAUGAAAAUUUUCCCAUUAUUGGUGCAUCUCAAUUUCCUGAAUUUCCAACACAUAUAACUCCUGGUGGCAUGGCUGUUGCUAAUGAAGUCACUCCAAAUCCAGAAGAUUCAACUCCUAAGAGCAACAAAAGUAAGGAACCAACAUGGAACACUGAACAACAUUUGGUGUUAAUUAGUGCAUGGAUUAAGUUUGGAACAAACAAUGUUGUCGGGAGAAUCCAGAGGGGUGAAACAUAUUGGGGUAAAAUUGAUGAGUAUUGUAUUGAGUAUGGCUCAUUUGAUUCUCCGCGGGAUCUAGUUGCAUGCCAAAACCGUUUUAAUUAUAUGAGCAAAGUAAUAAAUAAAUGGAUUAGUGCUUAUGAUGCCGCUAAGCGUUUGCAAGGAAGCGGUUGGUCGGAAGAUGAUAUUUUGGCAAAAGCGCAGGAAUAUUUGCAUGUGGGAAGAAUGUUCAAUUUACUUUAAACGAAGAAUGACACGCUCUCCGUGAUCAACCACGUUAUGGUAGUCAAAUGGGAGGAAAUGUUGGGUCAGGAAGUAGUGGAUCUAAGAGAUCUCAGGAGGACUUUGUAGGAUCUAGUGCUCGUCCAAUGGGUAGGGAGGAAGCUUAAAACAAAGGUAAAAAGAAAAUCAAGAACGCUGCCUUGGAGGAGGUGGAAAAGAAGUGGGUUGAAUUCAAAGAAAUCAAGGUGCAAGAGAUCGAACAAUUGAAAGAGUUCACCGCGGUGCAACAUGAGAAAUACAGAUUGAAGAAAAUGAAACUGUAUGUAAUGUUAAGUUCCGGAGAACAUCUCGAUGACCGGAAAAAAGAGAUGUUGGAAAACUUGGAACGUGAGCUGUUUGAAAAUUAAUUUCAAUCAAAUAUUUGUUUGUAUUCGGUAAUAAUUGUCAGUGUUGUCUAGUCCCAGUGUUUUCUUUAAUAAUUGUCAGUGUUUGCUUUAAUAAUUGUUAGUGUUGUCUAGUCCUCAGUGAUUGCUUUAUUAUCCCCAUUGAUAGUCCCCAAUGUUGUCUAGUCCCCUGUGACUUAUGUCACAUACUAUUUGCUUUAAUAAUUAUGCUCACUGUGUGCCCAUUAUUUCACAUACUAUUUGCUUUAAUAAUUAUCUCAACUAUUUGCUUUAAUACAAUACAAUAACUUAUUUCAAAUCCGUCAAUGUCCACCACACAAUGUACUUAUAUAUAGGGACUCAUAUCUACUUCCAAUUUCACAAAUCUCAUUCACAUCUACUUCCAAUUUCACAAAUCUCAUUUAUAUCUACUUCCAAUAUCACAAAAAACUAUUCAAUCUACUUCCAAAAAAACUAUUAAUGGACCCUUUUGAUAUCGAAGUUGUUGUACCCUGAUUUUGGACCUAAAAAUACUCGUUCAAAUUUCUUUUUUAACACUGAUAUUUGUCAAUUCUCUGUUAUUUUACUCUGAAUCUUUACUCUCUUUUUAAACGUAUUUUACUGCCUCUGUCUUUUCUGACAUUACAAGUCAUUUAAGAACUCUCUGAAACGUCGCAUUACUUUUCUUGCAUUUUNNNNNNNNNNNNNNNNNNNNNNNNNNNNNNNNNNNNNNNNNNNNNNNNNNNNNNNNNNNNNNNNNNNNNNNNNNNNNNNNNNNNNNNNNNNNNNNNNNNNGCGAACGGUGAUGGAAAUUUGAUUCCUCUAAUUCUUGAUCAUUAUGAACAACCUAGUACUGUUUAUCAUGUUCAUCUUUUUGAUAGUCCCUCUUAUGUUGCAGUCACUCCAAUUUUAACACAUCCGAAUUGUCAUGCUAGGGCUCGAUCCAUGAGACGAGCUUUUGGAGCAAAGAACAAAUUUGAUUUUGUUGAUGGUUCUAUACAUGUUUCUACGGGGUUUGAUCCAAGUUUCAAGUCUUGGAAUCGCUGCAAUAUGCUUGUUCAUUUGUGGAAAAUGAACUAUCUUGAUGAAUCAAUUGCGCACCACAUAGUUUUUCUGGAAAAUGCAAUUGACGUUUGGAAUGAGCUAAAGCAAAGAUUUUCGUAAGGUGAUUAUAUGAAACACGGCUGAAGUUUGCUAUAAGAAACAUGAUUUUCCUCCUCAUGCUAUCUACAUUAGGACUUGUUUGGGACUUUUGAAACUUAAAAGACCACUUUGGGAAAAACGAAAAACUUAAAAGGACCUUUAGAUGCAUUUGACCUUAAUAUUUCAAUAAGUUGAAUACAGAAUUUCCAAGAUAAAGUUUAUACUUCCAGUUUCUUUUUUUAUAUAUAUAGUUUAUUUUUUAAAAUCUAUAAGGAGAAUCCAUGCUGAUAGAACGCAUAUCUGUAUGAGACAUAAAUUCUGCAGUUUCACUUAUUAAGAUGCUCUCUUCUUGAGUCUCUGGUGUAUAAACUUUUUCACUUUGUUCACAAUACUGUUGAAUAAUUUCCAACUGUUGAUGAUACUGUUGAAUAAUUUCCAACUUAUUGCCUUCAAAAACUUGGUUUGUGUCUUGUAUAACUUCUUCAACAUCAGAUUGUCCUUCAAGCAUGCUUACAACUGAUGACAUGGUUGGUCUAUGCAUCGGAGAAACACGAGUGCAUAAAAGAGCUACAUUGAUCAUGAUCAUCGCUUCCUCUUUGUUGAAAUCUUCACCUAGCCUCUCAUCAAUUAGGUCCAUUAUGUUACCUUCUUCCUUUAAGAAAUGCACCUGAUAAAGAUGAAAUACAAACAAACUUCAAGAUAUUGUGAUGAAGACUCAAAUUGGAUAGAAGGUAUGAAGUUAUGGGUGUGUUAGUUACCCAAUCAACAAGAGAGAAGCAUUCAUCCCUUGGCUUAUUCAUGGUGUUGUGCUUCCCACUAACAAUUUCCAAGGCAACGACUCCAAAACUAUAAACAUCCACUUUCUCCGUCAAAUAUCCGUGCAUUGCAUAUUCUGGAGCCAUAUAUCCACUGCAACAUCGAAAUUUAUAUAUUAACUCAAGUGGAUUAAACUAAAUUUUAAGAGGUUUUAUUCUUUUCUUCCUCACAUUACACUUAGAAAAUGAUAAAUACCCUUCGACAAAUUCCAUAAAAAAAAAGAACACAUUGUAUAUAGAACUCACUAUGUGCCGGCUACUCUAGUAGUUAUAUGUGUGUGUCCGUCAUCUUUAAGCUUAGCCAAACCAAAAUCAGAUAUCUUUGGAUUGAGAUCUUUAUCGAGCAACACAUUAGUUGCUUUGAUGUCCCUGUGAACUAUCUUAAGCCUCGACUCUUCAUGUAGGUAAGCCAAACCUCUAGCAAUACCGACACAAAUGUUCUUCCUUGUCGACCAAGUCAAUUUCAAUUGAGCGUUUUCUUUGGCUUCAUUUUCAAAUGUCAUAGAAAAUUAGACAACAAAAUCAUAUGGUGUGUGUGUGUAUGCGCAGAGAGACACACAUAACAUUGUAGUGUAUGCGCAGAGAGACACACAUAACAUUGUAGAUUAUAUUAAUGAAAGUGCUACAAAACUUGACUACAUGGAAAAAAGUUUACCAAACAAAGCACAAGCAAGGCUAUUAUUUUCCAUGUAUUCAUAUAUUAGUAAUAACUGAUCUCCCUCCAUACAGCAACCAUAGAGCUUAACUAGACAAGGGUGUUGCAAAGCAGAAAUCAAGCCGAUCUCAUUUAUAAAUUCGCGGUUCCCUUGCUUUGAUUUAGAGGAAAGCUGCUUAACUGCUACUAUUGUGCCGUCUGAAAGAACACCCUGCAAUUCAAGGAAUUUAUAUUAUAUCUCUGUACGUGAAAGAAGUAAAAACAAUAAUAGAUAUAUCAAUGACAUUCAAAUUUGAAAUGAAAGUGUAGAUUGUACAAAUACCUUGUAAACCGGACCAAACCCUCCUUCUCCAAUCUUAUAGGCAAUAUCAAAGUUGUUAGUCGCUGCUUUGAUUUGCCGUAACGUAAAUAGCCCAGGUUGGAAAUCUAAACCCUUUAGCUCUGUUGAUUGAAGUAAAAAAGAAUAUAUAAAUAAAAUCAGAGAUAUUUUUUUGAGUAACUUCCACAUCAAUACUUUUAGCAAGUACAAAUCUAGACACAAUGGCAGCCUUGAGCUCUAUAUUUUUAUAAAAUCAAAUUCAGCUUAUUAUGCUUAUAAAAGAAUUUCCGAAAGUUAAUUUUCAGGGUCUUACCUCUUUCUAACGGACCCAUAUGUUGUCGACAUCUUCUCCACCAAUAUAUACCAAAUACUAGUAAGAUAACUAGUCCUCCAGCAACAACAAUCACAGCAAUUUCCCAAACAGGUAUGCUACUGCCUUUUUCCACCGGCGGUGUAAAGUCUGUUUAAUUAUGAUAUAAUAUAAAAGGUUGUCAUAUAGACCAUAUUAGAGGAUGAUGGAAUAAGAAGAACCAUGAAGAACUAUAACUGACCAGGAUCAACCGAUAUAGCCGAUAUAAGAGGACCAUGUACUGAAUCAAAUGGGAUACCGGUUGUCCCUUUCCCCGCCCAAUGAAGGCGAAUCUCCAACGUAUUACUAGUCACAUUAGCAGUGAACUUCUUUAUGAUUGCCUUACCAACUCCACCGGCUUCUUUUGCAAUAUUGAAAUCCUUCAGCACCAACCUUCCCUGCAAAAUGGUUUAUAACGGUCAAAGGAAACUUGUUCAAUACUAAACAUGUUGCUGAAAAACAUAAGAUGAUGAGAUCAUGCACCUGAAUAUAUAUGUCAAAUAUACGUCUUCCAAGGCUGUUAUAUGUUUGAUCAUCCGUAAACAUUAUCUCCGCAAAAUGGAGAUUUACAGUGUAGUUUCCAUUUCCCAGACAAAAGCCAUAAUAUGUUAGAGAAAGCGGCGAAACCCGUGCAUCCAUAUACAGUUCGGCAUUUUCCAUGGCAAGGUUAGUUUUGUUAGACCAGGUAUAGUAGUCCGCAAGGCUAUCGAAGAAGUGACCAGUGUUGCUAAGGGCCCAGUUUGAUCCAGUUCGCUGAAAGCUUGCUGGUCCAACUUGACUUGAAUCAUCAUCAUAUGUCAAACUUUCAUUCGAAGUUAUUUUCUUACCACCACAAUUUAUACGGAGAGAGUACGAAGCUGGAAUGGUCAAAAGAAAAAAAAUGCGAAGUACAAUAAGAUGAUCGUAUUAUAAAUAAAAAUUGUAAGAUUAGAACCUAGAACAACAACCUUGAUUCGAAAGAAAACAAAUAUGAAAAACACAAAAAGAGAAUACUAGGAUUUAUUGUAGAAAUAAGCUCAAAUAAGCAUUUGUAAGCUCAAAUAAGCCAAUUCAAACAGGCCCUAAGUAGAAAUUAUUAAGUUAAAAGCACCAGCAGGUAUCCUACAAUCUAAAGGAAAACCACGACAAAUCAACUUACUUUUAGGACAGCUGAAGUUCCCCAAACAUGAAACCCUUCCCCUAAGAAAUAAUGGUGUGUAACAUAUCAGCAUAAUCACAUUAUAAAAUAAUUUAUUAUGACUCAUGAGUAGUACAAAACUUACAAGUUAUUUCGCUUUGAAGAUGAUGCAAAUAAGUUCCUGCGGCACAUGGUAAACAGCAAAAGAUUAGAUAGUUUCUUAAAAUUGUUGAAACAAAAAAAGUAUGAAAAAACAAGGAUUCUUACACGGUUCCCUGUUGACAUGUCAACUGCUCUGGAUUUUCAAUGCUCAAAUUGUUAUACGAAAGAUCUCUGCAUGUGUCAAAUUAUGCAUGUGAUUCAGAAAUAAAGAUGUAACAAAGAACUAUAUGUAACACUUUUUGGUAUAGAAAUUUCGAAAACUAGUUGUACAAAAAUUUAGCAUGCAGAAGUAAUAAUUAACCUCAAUAAAUUAAAUAAGCAGCGUUUGAAGGAUUACUCACGUGUAGUCUGGUCUAGCAAUCCAAUUUGGAAGCGGUCCAGUAAAAAGGUUUCCAGUUAAGUAUCUAAGUAAAAAAAUAAGAUAAGAUUAAUGAAGACUAGAUUAAAGUUUAAGGAUAUCAAGAAACAACUUGCCCCAAUGUUCUACGCUUUCUCCUUAUUUCCAUUUAUAGAUUUACCUGUUUUUCUAAUCAUUCUCAAUUUAGAUUUUCAGCGAGAGGCCGCGACGUGAUUAUCUCAUGGUGAUAUAUAAAUUUAUUGGUCUGAAGUUUAAGAACAAAAAUAAAUAAAAUAUAUGCACAUAGACAUAGUUCUAGAUUGCAGUUCGCAACUGCAAUAGGGUUUUAGAGGUUUCUGCAACGGCAUCAAACUGCAAUUGUGGCCGUAUUUGCCUGCACUGUUGCAGUGUAAUUGCAUUUUAGAACCAUGCAUGCACAUGGACUUGAAAUGGAUAAAUAUUUAUGAGAGAAAUGAAUCAGAUUCACGAUUUUCCACUUGCGUCUCUAUCUAAAAUCCAAUCUAUUAAUAAUCUCGUUGCUUCGUUGCAAACAAUUCUAACCUUGUCUUCAUAAGUUUAAAUCACACUUUCUUUCAGGUAUCUUUAAGAAUUCAAUUUGGUGUAUACAAGUAACUCAGAGGAUAUUGCUUACAGCAUAUUUAUGUUCUUCAGGCCACCCAAGGUGAUCGGAAUCGGUCCAGUUAAUUUGUUAAAACUGAGAUCUCUGAAAAAGAAAUUAUGCUCAGAAUAAAUAUUAUUCGACAAGAAAAAUGUUUUAGUCCCGAUAACAUAACAAAAGAAGCAUCUUGUUUUUCACCAAAAUUUGAGUACUGAUUGCAUCUAUUGUAACUGGUUCUAACGCAUGUGAAUAAUGCAAGAAACUUCCUAGUAUUACUUACAAAGAUUUUAAAGUAGUAAUAUGUCCAAGAUAGUCGGGAACUUCUCCUAUAAGAUUGCAACUCCUCAGCACUCUGUCAAAAAAAUUGAUACUAUGUAAAUUUUUAAGUGCAAUGCACUUAUGCUAAUAAUCCAAGCAAUUCCCUUACAAUGUUUGAAUAUUUGUCAAGCCAAUAAGUUGCGGAAAAGGAGAAUCUGAUCCUUUCAAGUCGCUUAUUCUCCUGCAUAACAUUUAUUAAUCACUGUAAAACUCAAUAAGAGAAAAAUUGAAUUUUAAAUCCUUGACCAAAAUCUAUAAAGCACUAACACAAAUACCGAACACGAUACUGACGUUGACAUACAUGUAGUGUGUCGGACACUAGACUCACAUUCAAUUUAAAUGUCGGUGUUAAAGAUCACAAGAAAAUACAUCAUACUUACAAGCCAUUGAGGUUUUUCAGAUAUGAAAUUCCAGAAGGAAUUGGACCACUCAAACCACUCCCUUGCAUCACCCUGUCAAAAUUAAAAGUUAUUAUUUUGACAAACCAGCUUAACUAAGAAAAAAAAUUAUGAUUUAGAAUUUCGNGAUCGAUUUUGAGCAACCUGGGGGAAGUGGAUCAAGUACACCGCAACCAUACUCGACCGGGGUGUUACCAGCUUUUGCAAAUCAUGUGCGUGCUAGAUCCGAGUUGCGUCAUCCAGAUGUUCGUCACGAACUGCAAGUAGAUCUAGUGAAGCACAUAUGGACAAAGUUUGGAAUGUAUCAUGAUUGAAGAUGAUUUCUAUCGUACUAAAUAAAUUAUUUGUGUGUUGUAUUUCAUUUUAAGUUAUUUGUGUGCCGCGUGUUUAGUUUGUUGUAUUGCAUUUUAAGUUAAGAAAAUAAAAAUAAAUUAUUUUGCAAAAUUUUGUUUUUUUCAAAAAACCUAAAAAAUAAAUAGUUAAUUGUAUUAUUUUAAUUUAAUUAUAAUCGAUAAUUUUAUGUAACUAUAAAAACAAAAAUUAAAUAAGAAUAAGAAAUACAAAGUGGUGGGGUAGAGUGUUGAAUGAAAAACCAUUGGAGAGGGUAAAAGUUGAAUGAGUAUUGAAUAAGAGAGAGAAAAUGAUGUGGAGUGUUGGAAAUUGAAAAAAUAGGUGUUGAAAGGGAAAAUCAUUGGACAUGGUCUUACAAUCCAUCUAAAUAAAAGUUUUUAUUUUUUUAUUUUUUUUUACAAAAACAAAACGAUAUUCAUUCAUUCAAAUCGAUAGAGUACAUCAGAUACAAACAUCACUAAAAACGUAAAGGGUGAAUUUGCGAACAAACUCACAACACCCAAUUUAACAGCAAUAUAAUAAAUUUUCUUUCUUUCAUCUCUAGUUUUCUCUCUUAAUUUCUAGAGUGUGAUCCCUACUCGAAUUGGACCAUAUCAUAAUGCUACUACAAUUAUGAUUUUUGGUACACUUUAAUUUAUGUUUAUGAAAGAUUUCCAUAUUGUAGACAAGCUCAUAAGAAUUUUAUAGACAAACCCUAUAUUAUAAUUGUCGUUUGACAACAUAAUAUUAUAAAAAUAUAGUUUUUGUGGGGAUUAUGAAAAUAUUCUUAUUACCAUUAUUCACUCAUAUAAAAAUAAGCUCAUAAGAAUUUUAUAGACAAACCCUAUAUUAUAAUUGUCUUUUGACAAAAUAAUAUUAUAAAAAUAUUGUUUUUGUGGGGAUUAUAAAAAUAUUCUUAUUACCAUUAUUCACUAAUAUAAAAAUAUUGAGAAAAACGUCAUUCCAUAAUUCCUCUAAAAAAGAAAACACAUUCCUUAGUUAUAGUGUAUGUUCGCUCAUGAAUUGAAUUAUAAAAUAAAUCACACUUAAUUUGAACUUAAUUUGAACAAGAUAAACGAAAUGAUAAACAUUAUAUCCUUUUUCAAUAAAACUAAUUAAUAUUAUUUAUUUGGAAAAUUAAAGGUUUUUUUUUUUUUUUUGUAACAAAGUUUGUUUUUGUUACGUGCAAAUUUAAAUUUCCAUGAAAGACAGGAUAUGAAAGUUUUUGUUACCUAUAAGGUGUGUUUGAUAUGCUAAAAAAUGAAGGAUAAAACAUAACAACUUCAGUUGUAUAAUGUUUGAUUUGUAAAACUCUUUAGGGAUAGAACAAAUUGAAGGCAAAGAACAUAACAAAAAGCGUAUAAGGCUAGAUAUUAUUCAAUACUAUAAAAUUUUGUUACGUGUUGUUCUGUCUUAUUUUGUGCUAUAUAUUUUGUUUUGAGGAGUUCUGUCCAGUUGUUACUGUUUAACAUAUCAAACACACCCAUAAUAAUGGUUUCUUGUGUAGUUAAAAUUCUAUUAUUAAGAUCAAUAACAUUGUUAAAAAUCUCAAGUGCAAAAUAUAAUAACAAUUCUAAUGGAAAAAACAAAAGACUUCGUUAAUGUUACUUCAAAAAAAAAAAAAGACUUCAUUAAUGUUAAAAAAGGAAGAAAGAGCGAGUGAUAGAGAGAGGAUCCAUCAAUUUAUUUAUUUUUUGUUUUUGGUGAAAUGACCCAUCAAUUUUACCAGUGAGAUGAGUGUAUGUAAAAAAAUAAUGAAUUUAUUGGAGAGAGGGGGUAAUGUAUCACAAUUAUUUAUUAUUGAAGAAAAGAUUAGACAUCAAAGUUAUUUGAAAGAAAGAGUGAAUGCGAGAAAAAAAAAAAUUUAUUGCUGGAUUAGAAUGAGGGUAUAAUAAAAAAAACAAAAAAGUACACUUCAUUAAUUUGAGGGUGUUAUUCUAAAAUGACACGUAAAAAGAAAUAGAUGAAAUAUAAUUAUCCUAGUAAAUAGAUUUUCAAUGAGAAGCUCGUUUUAUUCAUUUUGAGAUGGAAAAGAUAACAAAAUAUUAAAAUAAAAAAUUGAGGUUGUACCAUGUUAAACUUGUAAAUAGAACUGAGAAAUAGUUAACUUGUGCAACAAGUUAACUUGAUAUGCAAGCUUCUGCAUAAGUUAGACAUUAGAAUAAUGACAGCUAUGAGUUAGUUAGGAUUAUACACAUAACACACAUUCUCUUUUCUUCCUAGCUUCUGCAAUUUCUAUGGUUUUCAUUAUGUUGAUGAUGAACUUCAUGACAGUAUCAGAGCUAAUGCCGCUGCGAACGGUGAUGGAAAUUUGAUUCCUCUAAUUCUUGAUCAUUAUGAACAACCUAGUACUGUUUAUCAUGUUCAUCUUUUUGAUAGUCCCUCUUAUGUUGCAGUCACUCCAAUUUUAACACAUCCGAAUUGUCAUGCUAGGGCUCGAUCCAUGAGACGAGCUUUUGGAGCAAAGAACAAAUUUGAUUUUGUUGAUGGUUCUAUACAUGUUUCUACGGGGUUUGAUCCAAGUUUCAAGUCUUGGAAUCGCUGCAAUAUGCUUGUUCAUUUGUGGAAAAUGAACUAUCUUGAUGAAUCAAUUGCGCACCACAUAGUUUUUCUGGAAAAUGCAAUUGACGUUUGGAAUGAGCUAAAGCAAAGAUUUUCGUAAGGUGAUUAUAUGAAACACGGCUGAAGUUUGCUAUAAGAAACAUGAUUUUCCUCCUCAUGCUAUCUACAUUAGGACUUGUUUGGGACUUUUGAAACUUAAAAGACCACUUUGGGAAAAACGAAAAACUUAAAAGGACCUUUAGAUGCAUUUGACCUUAAUAUUUCAAUAAGUUGAAUACAGAAUUUCCAAGAUAAAGUUUAUACUUCCAGUUUCUUUUUUUAUAUAUAUAGUUUAUUUUUUAAAAUCUAUAAGGAGAAUCCAUGCUGAUAGAACGCAUAUCUGUAUGAGACAUAAAUUCUGCAGUUUCACUUAUUAAGAUGCUCUCUUCUUGAGUCUCUGGUGUAUAAACUUUUUCACUUUGUUCACAAUACUGUUGAAUAAUUUCCAACUGUUGAUGAUACUGUUGAAUAAUUUCCAACUUAUUGCCUUCAAAAACUUGGCUUGUGUCUUGUUUAACUUCUUCAACAUCAGAUUGUCCUUCAAGCAUGCUUACAACUGAUGACAUGGUUGGUCUAUGCAUCGGAGAAACACGAGUGCAUAAAAGAGCUACAUUGAUCAUGAUCAUUGCUUCCUCUUUGUUGAAAUCUUCACCUAAUCUCUCAUCAAUUAGGUCCAUUAUGUUACCUUCUUCCUUUAAGAGAUGCACCUGAUAAAGAUGAAAUACAAACUUCAAGAUAUUGUGAUGAAGACUCAAAUUGGAUAGAAGGUAUGAAGUUAUGGAUGUGUUAGUUACCCGAUCAACAAGAGAGAAGCAUUCAUCCCUUGGCCUAUUCAUGGUGUUGUGCUUCCCACUAACAAUUUCCAAGGCAACUACUCCAAAACUAUAAACAUCCACUUUCUCCGUCAAAUAUCCGUGCAUUGCAUAUUCUGGAGCCAUAUAUCCACUGCAACAUAAAAAAUUAGGUUGGAAAAUGAUAAAUACCCUUAAAAAAUUCCAUAAAAAAAAGAACAAAUUAUAUAUAGAACUCACUAAGUGCCGGCUACUCUAGUAGUUAUAUGUGUGUGUCCGUCAUCUUUAAGCUUGGCCAAACCAAAAUCCGAUAUCUUUGGAUUGAGAUCUUUAUCGAGCAACACAUUAGUUGCUUUGAUGUCCCUGUGAACUAUCUUAAGCCUCGACUCUUCAUGUAGGUAAGCCAAACCUCUAGCAAUACCGACGCAAAUUUUCUUCCUUGUCGACCAAGUCAAUUUCAAUGGACAGUUUUCUUUGGCUUCAUUUUCAAAUGUCAUAGAAAAUUAGACGACAAAAUCAUAUGGUGUGUGUACACAGAGAGACACACACAACAUUGUAGAUUAUAUUAAUGAAAGAGCUACAAAACUUGACUACAUGGAUAAAAG
rnacentral:lncRNA from 1 species